GCAGACAAGUGACCACCCUACCAUUUACCAGAAAGAAAUCGUGACGACGCCGUCUACGAAAGGCCACCAAACUGACUAGAGACGGGCGAUAGAAACGAGAAACCAGCAUCCGAACCCUGCCUAGUACGAUCGGUCGAAUUUGAAGCCCAGGCCACUAAUGUCAGACCACUAUAGUCGCGAUUAUGACAAUAUUAAAAAUGUUGAGCUAAAUGCCCAAACUGACCACAGAUCUA
rnacentral:lncRNA from 1 species